GCAUUAUUAAGACCGGGGACAGUCUCGUUCACACACUGUCAUGUACACACACUCUCAAGUGGCCAAGACUGCAAGUGUGGGUAUCUGGACAGGGUCAAAGUCUUAAAAAUGAUCCCUAAACACAUCACAGUCUUAAUAAUCCAGUUUAACACUUGUAUGAUAUUGUACAAGCCCCAGGACUGUCUCAUCUGACACUAUCAAAGAAUUCAUAUGACUAUAGCUUGUUAUUAAUUACUUGCUUUCAAUAAUGGAUUCAUUUAACAUUUAAUUAUACAGCAUCUUUACAGAGGUGUAAUGUACAAGCUGCACGUAAUUAAUAAUAUGUCCUUCCUUCUGUCUUACAGGAUUUUUUCCAGAUAAUGCUGUUCUUCUUUUUCAGGUCUAAAAUAUCGAGCUCAACAGCUAUUUUAAGAGCCAACCCUCACAAACCUUCCUAAAACCUAAAAGAGCUAUUACUGAGUCUCAGCGAAUCUUGCCAUGAUCAGCUCUUCCCAGAAGAGAAGGAAGACCAAGGAUAUGAUUUGCUCAGGAUGAGGAAUGAAGAUGGCCAUCUUGAGCUCAAACAAACAGAAGUCCUCUGAUGAUCUCAUCAGCCAAAUGAGGGCUUUUGACCAAGUGAUGCUCUUGAAAGGAGUGAAAGAAGAGGAUGUGGUAAAUUGUCUUCAGAGAAAAGCUUCUCAAAAGAUCUUAAAACAGCUUGAAGAAUGGUAAGUGUACAGUACUACAAGGGUCAUAGUUACUCACCCUGCUAAAACCACACAGAACAUAAGCUGCGCUCUCUGUCCAUUAAACAACUUCUUCUGCAUUGUUUGUUUCACUUUGACCAGGUCUGGGAUGUUAGGACUGAGAGAUCAUCUGGCUGAGAACAAGCUACACCUCAUCAGUGCUGGACAUCAACCACAAACUGUUUCCAGACACGAGAGAAGAAGAUCACGAUGGGGAGAUGAAACCAGUUUAGAUGUGAUGAUGGGAAUCAUUAUUUUCUGGAACAGUAUCACAUGUCUUAUAUGUAUCACAUGAUCUGUAUCACAGUUGACUGGAUGGGACUGUGUGACUUUUAAGGACAUUUCAUCACUCAUCUGUGUGAACUGAUUUAUAUAUGAGGUUAAUGUAUCUUUGAUGAUAAUUAUUUUCAUUGAAUCUUAUUUGUCUUGAUGCUACUUUAUCAACUUUAUAGUCUAUGCUUCAAUAAAAUGAAAAUGGUGAA